GACGAACGCUGGCGGCGUGCUUAACACAUGCAAGUCGAGCGGUAAGGCACCUUCGGGUGUACACGAGCGGCGAACGGGUGAGUAACACGUGAGUAACCUGCCCUUCUCAUCGGAAUAAGCGUUGGAAACGACGUCUAAUGCCGAAUAUGACUUCGGACCGCAUGGUCUGAAGUGGAAAGCUCCGGCGGAGAAGGAUGGACUCGCGGCCUAUCAGGUAGUUGGUGAGGUAACGGCUCACCAAGCCGACGACGGGUAGCCGGCCUGAGAGGGUGACCGGCCACACUGGGACUGAGACACGGCCCAGACUCCUACGGGAGGCAGCAGUGGGGAAUAUUGGACAAUGGGCGCAAGCCUGAUCCAGCAACGCCGCGUGAGGGAUGACGGCCUUCGGGUUGUAAACCUCUUUCAGCAGGGACGAAGCGAAAGUGACGGUACCUGCAGAAGAAGGACCGGCCAACUACGUGCCAGCAGCCGCGGUAAUACGUAGGGUCCGAGCGUUGUCCGGAAUUAUUGGGCGUAAAGGGCUCGUAGGCGGUUUGUCACGUCGGGAGUGAAAACUCAGGGCUCAACCCUGAGCGUGCUUCCGAUACGGGCAGACUAGAGGUAUGCAGGGGAGAACGGAAUUCCUGGUGUAGCGGUGGAAUGCGCAGAUAUCAGGAGGAACACCGGUGGGCGAAGGCGGUUCUCUGGGCAUUACCUGACGCUGAGGAGCGAAAGCAUGGGGAGCGAACAGGAUUAGAUACCCUGGUAGUCCAUGCCGUAAACGUUGGGCGCUAGGUGUGGGGACCUUCCACGGUUUCCGUGCCGCAGCUAACGCAUUAAGCGCCCCGCCUGGGGAGUACGGCCGCAAGGCUAAAACUCAAAGGAAUUGACGGGGGCCCGCACAAGCGGCGGAGCAUGCUGAUUAAUUCGAUGCAACGCGAAGAACCUUACCUAGGUUUGACAUAUAGCGAAAACUUAUAGAGAUAUAAGGUCCUUUUGGGCGCUAUACAGGUGGUGCAUGGCUGUCGUCAGCUCGUGUCGUGAGAUGUUGGGUUAAGUCCCGCAACGAGCGCAACCCUCGUUCUAUGUUGCCAGCACGUAAUGGUGGGGACUCAUAGGAGACUGCCGGGGUCAACUCGGAGGAAGGUGGGGAUGACGUCAAGUCUUCAUGCCCCUUAUGCCUAGGGCUUCAAGCAUGCUACAAUGGCUGGUACAAAGGGCUGCGAAACAGCAAUGUGGAGCGAAUCCCAAAAAGCCAGUCUCAGUUCGGAUUGGGGUCUGCAACUCGACCCCAUGAAGUCGGAGUCGCUAGUAAUCGCAGAUCAGCAACGCUGCGGUGAAUACGUUCCCGGGCCU
rnacentral:rRNA from 1 species